CUGUGCCUGGGCCAUAUGGAAGUUCCCAGGCCAGGGAUUGAUUGAACAUGUACUAUAGCAGCGACCCAAGCUACUGCAGUGAAAAAUGCCAGAUCCCUAACCCACUGCACCACAAGAGAACUCCCUAGAACACCCUAUUUAAAUUCUUUUUAAAACCAGGAAUAAUGAAUUUUACCAAAUGGGUUUAAUUUUUGGUCAUUCAACUUAUUAACAUAGUGAAUUAUAUUAAAGGUUUUUCAACUAUCAAAUCAUCCUACAUUACUGAAAUAAAUUCCAUUUACUUUCUUUAUAUUAAUAAUUAAAUGCACUACAGGAUUAUAUUUAUGUGAUUUAUUUAGCAUUUUACAUUAACAUCCAUAAAUAACAUAUCUAUAUAUAUUUUCAUGGUGAAAUAUUUUGGCAGUUCAUACUUAGAAAAUUUUUUAUCUUUUUACAGCCACAUCCACAGCAUAUGAAAGUUCCUGGGCUAGGAGUGAAUCGGAGAUGCAGCUGCCAGCCUAUGCCACAGCCAUGGCAACAUAGAAUCCAAGCCACAUCUGUGACCUAUGCUGCAGCUUGCAGCAGUGCCAGAUCCUUAACCCAAAGGCCAGGGAUUGAGCUUGCGUCCUCAUGGCACUAUGUGGGGUCCUUAAACCACUGAGGCACAAUAGUAACUCCAGAAAAGUUUUUAAAAUAUUGGAAUUUUCUAUCCUUUAAAAGUUUAAUUGACUUCACCUGUGACUCCAGUCUGGGCUGAUGCUUUUUAGAAUGAAUAUUUGGAAACCCCGGCUUCUCCCUUCACUCAGAAGGGAUAACUCUGAGGCAUGAUCUGUGGUUUUUCAUAAUCCCUAACUACAUGGGAGGCAGCUGCUCACAGCAGGGACCUUCUCCAUAUUGCACCCUUAUGGGCAUCCUUCCCUUCCCUGUCUCUCUUCUCUACUUCCCAUCUAGUGAUUUCUUAGGUCAUCUUCCAAAUACACUGCACUGAAAUCUCUGUCUCAGUGUCUAAACCUGGAGCAAAGCAACCUAGACACUUUCCCAACAGCUCCAUAACAAAAUUCAUUUAAGCUUAUUACCAUUAAUUCUGAGUCUCAUUCAGAGUCAUAACAGAAAGAAAUCAGGCAUUGUGAGGUGAGAGUCAAUGAUGAAAAAAAGUUCUUUGUAGGAACAGUAUUUUCAAAUUCAAUGAUCAGGACAACUAGCUAACAAAUUGUGUCAUCAUUUCAUGAUUCAUUAUAACUGUUGAAUAACAAAGAUUUCCUAUGUUGGUAAAAAAUAUGCUAUUGUUAUGCUUUAAAAAAGAACAAUUGAAGAACACUAUGGCUGUUGUAAUUUUAAUUUGCCCUUUUAAAUUAACUUAUAGCAAAUCUGCAUUUGCCUAUAGUUAAUCUUCGGAGUCUAAUAUAAUGUUCUAAAGUUUGAAGGAUUUUUAUGAUUACUAAUAACGUAAGUACUAAUAACAACUUGGGAUUUACAACUCUCUGUAUAGGUUGGGCUUAUUCCAAAUGAUGGAAACUGAUACCAAAGAAAAUCUAAGAGAAUAUCAAUACUUUUUUAAAAAGUCACAAUCCUAUAAAAAAGACACACUGAAGAAAUAUAUUAUUUACUAAUCUGUUAUUAAUAUAACAGACCUAAUCUGCUUUUAGAAGUUGAGUUUCUCUGGUGAUUUACUGGGACCUUAGUUAUACUGAAGGACUACUGUUUGCAGUACUUAUCAUGAGACACACAGGCAUUAAUUACACAGUCCAUCUUACCCAGUAGUGGUAUUGGCUAAAGAGGAUUCAGUGCUGUACUUACAUUUUAAGACUACCUUAUUCUUUCUGAUCAAGACAAGCUCCCUGCUGUGAAUACCUAUACAUCGAACGGAGUGAUUUUAUCUAAUAGAGACCUGAUUAUCUCAGGAAGGCAUACUUUCUUACUCUAUUUCAAAUGGAUAAGAUUUUUUUUUUUAAAUCAAACAACAUUUUUGGUGCACUUUCCCUGGGAAGAAAUUUACUUUUUCCAUGAUCAUUUAACAACUCUUUUUGGCAUCAGAUUAGUCUUAGAUACACAUCCUCCACCCAGUUUCACAACUCUCAAGGCUGCUUGUGGAUUUGGAAGAUUGACCUAGCCCAAACAUUCAUAUAAAGAAUGCCCUUGAGAGCAUAUUUUGAUUAGUCUGGACUCAAUUAAUAUCUGCUCUCUUCAGAUUUAAAUUUCACUCUCAUAAGAUAGCCAGAGACAAUUUUCCAAGAAAAAUAAUGUAAACCUUUUUAUUUGUAUUCUUAAAAAAAAAGAAACUACAUAUAUAAGAGAAAACAUAGUUUGGAUAGAUUUUUGAAAACUGCUAUUUUUAUUAACAUGGAUUUGUUCCUUUUGAAAUUUGAAUCAUUAUUUGCAAAGUAUAAUUCUGAACUAUUAAAAAAUCCACUUUAGUAAAGUAUGGAUUUAACCUUUUGUUAACAGACUUAUUUAUCUUCCUUUAGGUCUUUAAGAAUACCAUCUAUCAUCAAAAAAAAUACAGUAAUAACAAGUGAUGGUGAGGAUGUGAAGAAAAGGAAACCCUGUAUACUGUUGGUGAGAAUGUAAAUUUGUGCAGCCACUGUAGAAAGCAGUAUGGAGGUUUCUCAAAAAAUUAAAAAUAGAACUACUCUGUGACCCAGCAAUUCCAUUCCUGGGUAUAUAUCUGAAAAAAAAAAAAAAGACACUAAUUUGAAAAGAUACAUGCAUCCCAAUGUUCAUAGCAGUAUUAUUUGUAAUUGCCAAGAUAUGGAAGCAUAUCAAUCCAUCAAUGGAUGAAUGGAUAAAGGUGUGUGUGUGUGUGUGUGUGUGUGUGUGUAUUCCACAAUGGAAUACUACUUAGCAAUAAAAAGAAUGAAAUUUUGCCAUUUUCAGUGAUAUAGAUAGACUUGAGGGUAUUGUUAAGUGAAACAAGUCAGAGAAAGACAAAUACUAUAUGAUAUCACUUAUGAGUGGGAUCUAAAAAAAUACAACCAACUAGUGACUAUAAGGAUAUGUUACACAGCACAAGGAAUAAUGCCAAUAUUUUGUAGUAACUAUAAAGAGAGUAUAACCUUUAAAACUAUGAGUCACUAUUUUGUACACCUAUAACAUUAAAUACUGUAAAUUAAUAACUAUAUCUCAAUAACACUAUACUUCAAUUAAAGACUUUUUUAAAUUGCCUAAAUUAAUGAAAGCCUGCUGAAAAAUUUUAAAGAAGUUUGGUAACUACAUUCUAUUUCAUGAUUUUAGAUAAAUUUUGUUCUGUUACAAAAAUCAAUGUAGCAUUUAACAUAUUUUUUUCCUUUAGAUAAUGUUCUAAUGAGAAGGCUUUAUGUGCAUUAUUUCAUUUUAUAACUUGACCAAGAUCAUCUGGCUAUUAAAUAGUGGAAUCAAGAGAGAAAUCCAGACAGUUUGAUUCCAAAAUUUAUGCUGUUUAUUAGAGUGUUUGUUUAUGAUACCCUUUCCAUAAAGGAUUUUUUUCCCAAGAUUAAUUUUAAAUCUGACCUGCAGGGAUACAUCAAAUGCAGUAAGAUUACAUAAAUUAGAAACAAACUCAGAAUGGAUAAGUAAUGAGAUCCUGUUGUAUAACACUGGGAACUAUACCUAGUCACUUAUGAUGGAGCAAAAAAAAAAAAAAAAGAUAAUAUUCUAAGAAAGGUAAGUUUCUAGAGAAAAAAUUUAAAAUGUGGUGGUAAAUACCAAGAGCUAUUUUAUAAGGUCAGAGAUUUGGUUGUUACUAUACAAAAUGGUGACGUAAGUAAAAUUUGUCAGGAACAUUCACAUACCAUUUACUUACUCUUUUGGAGGAAGGGGACUCUGUCAUCUCAGAAUCUUAGACCCAGUACCAACCCUCAACUUGGGAAGGAAAGAUGCCCUAAACAAAUUAGAACUGGGGAUGCCAAUUGCACAUUUCACAAACGAGGUAACUCAGACACCAAAAGGACAAUGCAUUUGCUCAAUUUCCAGAGGAACCAAGUUAGAAAAUGGUACAUGUAUACUGAUUAACAUUCAGUUAAUGGGUCAUGUUGCAAUUCUAAUAAUAAAACAACUAUUAUAUCUGAGAAGUCACAAAAAUUAUUCCUAUUGUGCUAAAUUUCAUUAACAUAAUAAUAUUAAUAGAAUGUCCUAUUUUUUCUGUAAAGCCCUAUUGAAGGGUGACAUCUUUAAAAUUUAAUUUUAUAUAGUCUCCUCAAGCAAGCUGUCUCCUCUCAAUCCAGUCCAGUUUAGGUGCUCUUCCCACAUGCUUCCAUAGUUCCCUUUCUCCAUCAUGGUACUUUCUCUACCUUGAUUGUCUUAUGUCUUACCCAUCUCCUCCAGUGAACUCUAAACUCUUCGAGUACAGACAUCAAAUUUAUGCAUCUCUAUGCACUAAAAUCAUGUUAUUGACUCGAAUAAAAUAGGUGCCCAGUCAGUGCUAAAUGGAUGAAUUAAUGAAUAUUCAUGGUUCCAAGACCCCAUUAUUAUUGCCUACCCCUAAGAUCUGCUCACAGCUUGUUCUCAAGGUAAUCAAGAUUUUAGUUAAUAUAGGUUACCAUGAUGUUCCUCUUAAAGAUAUUUAAGUUUUCACUGGGGACAUAUAAGAGUCUACAAAAAUUCUGGUAAUGGACUUUCAGUCAUUGUAAUAGACUAUUAGGGAGGGAAGGAUGUACUUUUUUAAACAGAGAGACUCUCCAUAUCACAUCACCACUUAAACAGCCCACAUCACCACCACCCAGCCUUGGUGUUAUGCAGAGACAACAAACAGAUAUGUAUGCUUUCAGAGAGAUCCCGUGGGUCUGAUGAAUGCUAAGGUACAUGAAACCAUAUUGCUGUGAUUGGACCUGACUAGAUUAAACUUCCUUUUGGCUUGCUUUGCAAUGCUUCUGGUAUGAGAUGAUAUGAAAGAGAGAAGUAGUACAUGGCUAGUUGCAACCUUAGUAAGCAUGUGUCUUAUGGUUGCUGAGGCCUCCACUUUUUGCUAUUUUGAUUCUCACCUGGUAAUGAUUCCAGAUGUAUGACAUCUGAAAAAGACAU
rnacentral:lncRNA from 1 species